rnacentral:lncRNA from 1 species
AAAGAGACAUGUUUUGAUCAAACUUUUCUUUUUUUUAGAGAGAAUUAAAGAUCAGUAUGAUUCGUUUUUUUUUUCUCAAAUAAAUUUAACUGAAAAUGUGAAAAAAAACAUCAACCUGCAUUCUAAUUAAGCUUGACCAAACAUUAAGCCUCCGUUUGGUUCGGGGUUAAGGAAAAAGUAGCUAUUCCAGAGAUAGAGUUAAGUUCAGAGUUAAAGUGGAGUUAAAAUUUUUUUGUGUUUUGUUGGGGUUGGAGUUAGUCUAGAAUAAUAAAAAAUAGUGUUUGGUUGGAGUAGAUGGAAUAAGAAGAUAAUGAUUGAUAAAGAAAGAUAAUGAUUGGUUAGAGUAGGUGUGAUAAGAAAAAUAGUGGAUAGAAAAUAGUGUUUGGUUGAAGUUUGGUAGGGUUAGGUGGGAUUAACUAACUCAGGAUAAUUUAUUUGAGGUGGGAUUAGCUAACUUCACCCAUUUUUUGGGGUGUUUGGGAAUAAAAUGGAGAUUAAGGAGUUAUUCCACCCCUUAAUCCCCAACCAAACAAGGGCUUAAAGG